CCCCUAGAUGUUCUGGGCCGCACGCGCGCUACACUGAACAGUUCAACACGUCUUAACCUUGGCCGAUAGGUCUGGGUAAUCUUUGAACGCUGUUCGUGAUUGGGAUAGACCUUUGCAAUUAUGGGUCUUCAACGAGGAAUUCCUAGUAAACGCAAGUCAUCAGCUUGCAUUGAUUACGUCCCUGCCCUUUGUACACACCGCCCGUCGCACCUACCGAUUGAAUGGUCCGGUGAAAUCUCGGGACGGCGGCUUGGUCGCUUGCGUCCGACUGCUGAAACUUGAUUAAACCAUAUCAUUUAGAGGAAGGUGAAGUCGUAACA
rnacentral:rRNA from 1 species